UACGGGGGGGGCAAGCGUUGUUCGGAAUUACUGGGCGUAAAGGGCUCGUAGGUGGCCAACUAAGUCGGACGUGAAAUCCCUCAGCUUAACUGGGGAACUGCGUCCGAUACUGGAUGGCUCGAGUUUGGGAGAGGGAUGCGGAAUUCCAGGUGUAGCGGUGAAAUGCGUAGAUAUCUGGAGGAACAUCGGUGGCGAAGGCGGCAUCCUGGACCAACACUGACACUGAGGAGCGAAAGCCAGGGGAGCAAACGGG
rnacentral:rRNA from 1 species